AUGUGUUCCGCUUCCUGUGCUGGGAAAAUGAGCCGGACAAUUUGGCCAGAAAUUGUGUUUUAUUGUAGUUCAAAGGCCUGACUGUACCCAUGUGUACCUGGAAUGGCUGUUGAUAGCCUGGAUAAUUGUCCCCGGCCGCAACGCGAAACGGGGGACUAUGUAUUCAGCAGCGUCCGUACGUCCCGAUUCUUGUUAACGCGAUAUCUCAUGAACUGUUGUACCCAAUGUCUUCAAAUUUGGUGACAGCCUACAUUGGCGGAAUUCGCAGACACCAGUCAAUUUGGGUGACCUUGACCUUAUCUUCAAGGUCACCACAACACUGAACACACGAACGAAAUUUCAACCAAUCAGAGCGGCGCGUCUCUGUGGCAUCCUAUGAGGAAUAGCUAUGAGGGGCGAUGCAGAAUUCAUGUACAUUUCAAAACUUUCUCAAAACUGAUGAUCUCAACAAAACAAACUCAGGUUUUCAAGGAUAACUACCUUUUUAAAGUUAUGAGGCAAAUGAAUUGUCCUUUAUGAAGUAUUCGUUAAAAAAUUCAAACGAAUUAAUGCAAAGUUAAGGGAUAAUAAGUCUUUCAUUGCAUCAAUAGGAAGCUAAAGUGAGUGCAUAUGGCCCAAUAUAUAAAAUAUAGGCCAACAUAUUGUCGAAAAUGUGUGGAAUUGUGUCUUUAAAUACAUCGGAAGUUGUCUAUUAUUCUCAUUUCUACCGGGAGGUAGGGUAGCCUGCUUGUUACAGUGUCCGCUCGUCACACUGAAGACCCGGGUUCGAUUCCCCACUUGGGUACAAUGUGUGAAGCCCAUUUCUGGUGUCCCCCGCCGUGAUAUUGCUGGAAUAUUGCUAAAAGCGGCGUAAAACCCAACUCACUCACUCUCAUUUCUACCACUACUACGGUGCAUGUGUGUGACCAACAGUGACUGUGAGACAUGUGAGGUAUGUGUUUGAGACGUGUGUGACACCAGUAGUCUGUGUGUGAGAAAUGUGUGUGCAGCAGGAGCUCUGUGUGAGACACAGCUCUUUGAAGGAGACGUGUAUGAGAUGUGAGUUGUGUGUGAGACAAGUUUCUCUGUGUUUCUGAAUGGAGAUGUAAGAGUGAGACUAGCAGUCUGUUUGAGACACGUGUCUGAGUGAGACGUUUGUCUGAGAUGUGAGUGUGAGAGCAGUCUGUUUGAGACAAGUGUCUGAGUGAGACGUGUGUCGGAGAUGUGAGUGUGAGAACAGCAGUCAGUGUGAGACACGUGUCUGUGCAUGAGACAUGUGAGACCACCCAUCAGUGUGGAUGACUCACAAGAUCUGGGACACUAACCGAGUGUGAGGUGAAGGCAAGCUGAUUAUCAACCCUGCAGAACGUUUAGGACCGCAAGGGAACUGAAUCAACAAAAACUACAUCCAAGAAACAUAAAACAAGGGUUGUUCAUGGACAUUACAUCUUGGGCAGGUUUCUUCUCAAGACCUGUGGAAAGCCACAGCUUACAAAUGGAACCAAUACAAAUGGUGCAUCCCAAAUCUUAAAAUGGUGGGUGUUAUGUAAGAAAUGCAAAAUAUACCUUGGAAAAACUUUUUCAGUUGGUGCACUUUUGAAAGGCCUGGAGGACUGCCCGAAACAAAGCCAUUUGACCAUGACUUGACUUCCCAAUUGUCAAGGUGUGGUCGGUGAAAGAAUUUCACACUUUGAAUCAUGGGACUGUUUCAUGGAGGUCUUGUUUUGUCUUUUUGUUAUUGCAUUUCAUAAUUCUGACAAUUAAACAGAUUUGUUAUUGAUGU